ensembl:misc_RNA Metazoa_SRP Metazoan signal recognition particle RNA
GUUGGGCAUGGUGGUGCAUGCCUGGAUCUCAGCUACUCAGGGAACUGAGGCAGGAGGAUUGCUUGAGCCCAGGAGGUCAAGGCUGUAGUGAGCUGUGUUCAUGCCACUGAACUCCAGCCUGGGCAACAGAGUAAGACCCUGUCUCAU